GCCCCAAUGGUGAAAUCAGGUAGACACGCCAGACUUAGGAUCUGGUGAGCAAUCGUGUAGGUUCGAAUCCUACUUGGGGUA
rnacentral:tRNA from 1 species